rfam:Bacillus clausii KSM-K16 DNA, complete genome.
GAUCCGUUAGCUCAGUUGGGAGAGCGCUACCUUGACAGGGUAGAGGUCACUGGUUCGAGCCCAGUACGGGUCA